AUGAACGCUGGCGGCGUGCCUAACACAUGCAAGUCGAACGGAGAUUACGGACGGAAGUUUUCGGAUGGAAGACUGUAAUUCUUAGUGGCGGACGGGUGAGUAACGCGUGGGCAACCUGCCCUAUACAGGGGGAUAGCAGCUGGAAACGGCUGGUAAGACCGCAUAAGUCGGCGAGACCGCAUGGUUUUGCCGGGAAAUGAGCAAUCAGGUAUAGGAUGGGCCCGCGUCCGAUUAGCCAGUUGGCAGGGUAAAAGCCUACCAAAGCAACGAUCGGUAGCCGGACUGAGAGGUCGGACGGCCACAUUGGGACUGAGACACGGCCCAAACUCCUACGGGAGGCAGCAGUGGGGGAUAUUGCACAAUGGAGGAAACUCUGAUGCAGCGACGCCGCGUGAGUGAAGAAGUAUUUCGGUAUGUAAAGCUCUAUCAGCAGGGAAGAUGAUGACGGUACCUGACGAAGAAGCCCCGGCUAACUACGUG
rnacentral:rRNA from 1 species